rnacentral:rRNA from 1 species
UACGAAGGGGGCUAGCGUUGCUCGGAAUCACUGGGCGUAAAGCGCACGUAGGCGGCUUUCUAAGUCAGGGGUGAAAUCCCGGAGCUCAACUCCGGAACUGCCUUUGAUACUGGAAAGCUUGAGUUCGAGAGAGGUGAGUGGAACUGCGAGUGUAGAGGUGAAAUUCGUAGAUAUUCGCAAGAACACCAGUGGCGAAGGCGGCUCACUGGCUCGAUACUGACGCUGAGGUGCGAAAGCGUGGGGAGCAAAC